UACUGGAGGACAGGUGCUGCAUGGCUGUCGUCAGCUCGUGUCGUGAGAUGUUGGGUUAAGUCCCGCAACGAGCGCAACCCUUGCCUUUAGUUGCCAGCAGUUCUGCUGGGCACUCUAAAGGGACUGCCGGUGUUAAACCGGAGGAAGGUGGGGAUGACGUCAAGUCCUCAUGGCCUUUAUGACCAGGGCUACACACGUACUACAAUGGCCGAUACAAAGGGCAGCGACACUGCGAGGUGAAGCCAAUCCCGUAAAAUCGGUCUCAGUCCGGAUUGGAGUCUGCAACUCGACUCCAUGAAGUUGGAAUCGCUAGUAAUCGUGGAUCAGCAUGCCACGGUGAAUACGUUCCCGGGCCUU
rnacentral:rRNA from 1 species